rnacentral:rRNA from 1 species
GACGAACGCUGGCGGCGUGCUUAACACAUGCAAGUCGAACGGAAAGGCCCUUCGGGGUACUCGAGUGGCGAACGGGUGAGUAACACGUGGGUGAUCUGCCCUGCACUCUGGGAUAAGCCUGGGAAACUGGGUCUAAUACCGGAUAUGAUCAUGCGCCUCAUGGUGUGUGGUGGAAAGCUUUUGCGGUGUGGGAUGGGCCCGCGGCCUAUCAGCUUGUUGGUGGGGUAAUGGGCCUACCAAGGCGACGACGGGUAGCCGGCCUGAGAGGGUGACCGGCCACACUGGGACUGAGAUACGGCCCAGACUCCUACGGGAGGCAGCAGUGGGGAAUAUGGCACAAUGGGCGCAAGCCUGAUGCAGCGACGCCGCGUGGGGGAUGACGGCCUCGG